rnacentral:rRNA from 1 species
AGAUUGAACGCUGGCGGCAUGCCUUACACAUGCAAGUCGAACGGCAGCACGGGGCAAACCUGGUGGCGAGUGGCGAACGGGUGACGUAAUGCAUCGGAACGUGCCAUUGAGUGGGGGGUAACGUAGCGAAAGUUACGCUAAUACCGCAUAUUCUGUGAGCAGGAAAGCAGGGGAUCGCAAGACCUUGCGCUCUUUGAGCGGCCGAUGUCAGAUUAGCUAGUUGGUGAGGUAACGGCUUACCAAGGCGACGAUCUGUAGCGGGUCUGAGAGGAUGAUCCGCCACACUGGAACUGAGACACGGUCCAGACUCCUACGGGAGGCAGCAGUGGGGAAUUUUGGACAAUGGGGCAACCCUGAUCCAGCCAUGCCGCGUGAGUGAAGAAGGCCUUCGGGUUGUAAAGCUCUUUCGGCCGGGAAGAAAUCGCAUGGGUUAAUACCCUGUGUGGAUGACGGUACCGGCAUAAGAAGCACCGGCUAACUACGUG